AGUUGCGAACGGGUGAGUAACGCGUAGGUAACCUGCCUGGUAGCGGGGGAUAACUAUUGGAAACGAUAGCUAAUACCGCAUAAUAGUAGUUGUUGCAUGACAACUGUUUGAAAGAUGCAAUUGCAUCACUACCAGAUGGACCUGCGUUGUAUUAGCUAGUUGGUGAGGUAACGGCUCACCAAGGCGACGAUACAUAGCCGACCUGAGAGGGUGAUCGGCCACAUUGGGACUGAGACACGGCCCAAACUCC
rnacentral:rRNA from 1 species